rnacentral:tRNA from 1 species
GGAGAGAUGGCCGAGUGGUUAAUGGCAGCAGACUGUAAAUCUGCCGCGCUACGCGCUUCGCAGGUUCGAAUCCUGCUCUCUCCACCA